AGUGAACGCUGGCGGUAGGCCUAACACAUGCAAGUCGAACGGCAGCACAGUAAGAGCUUGCUCUUACGGGUGGCGAGUGGCGGACGGGUGAGGAAUACAUCGGAAUCUACUUUUUGGUGGGGGAUAACGUAGGGAAACUUACGCUAAUACCGCAUACGACCUACGGGUGAAAGCAGGGGAUCUUCGGACCUUGCGCGAUUGAAUGAGCCGAUGUCGGAUUAGCUAGUUGGCGGGGUAAAGGCCCACCAAGGCGACGAUCCGUAGCUGGUCUGAGAGGAUGAUCAGCCACACUGGAACUGAGACACGGUCCAGACUCCUACGGGAGGCAGCAGUGGGGAAUAUUGGACAAAGGGCGCAAGCCUGAUCCAGCCAUACCGCGUGGGUGAAGAAGGCCUUCGGGUUGUAAAGCCCUUUUGUUGGGAAAGAAAAGCAGCAGGUUAAUACCCCGCUGUUCUGACGGUACCCAAAGAAUAAGCACCGGCUAACUUCGUG
rnacentral:rRNA from 1 species